AGCUAACGCGUUAAAUCGACCGCCUGGGGAGUACGGCCGCAAGGUUAAAACUCAAAUGAAUUGACGGGGGCCCGCACAAGCGGUGGAGCAUGUGGUUUAAUUCGAUGCAACGCGAAGAACCUUACCUGGUCUUGACAUCCACAGAACUUUCCAGAGAUGGAUUGGUGCCUUCGGGAACUGUGAGACAGGUGCUGCAUGGCUGUCGUCAGCUCGUGUUGUGAAAUGUUGGGUUAAGUCCCGCAACGAGCGCAACCCUUAUCCUUUGUUGCCAGCGGUUAGGCCGGGAACUCAAAGGAGACUGCCAGUGAUAAACUGGAGGAAGGUGGGGAUGACGUCAAGUCAUCAUGGCCCUUACGACCAGGGCUACACACGUGCUACAAUGGCAUAUACAAAGAGAAGCGACCUCGCGAGAGCAAGCGGACCUCAU
rnacentral:rRNA from 1 species